AAAAUGAGAGUUUGAUCCUGGCUCAGGACGAACGCUGGCGGCGUGCCUAAUACAUGCAAGUCGAGCGAGCUUGCCUAUAGAAAUUCUUCGGAAUGGACAUAGAUACAAGCUAGCGGCGGAUGGGUGAGUAACGCGUGGGUAACCUGCCCUUAAGUCUGGGAUACCAUUUGGAAACAGAUGCUAAUACCGGAUAAAAGCUACUUUCGCAUGAAAGAAGUUUAAAAGGCGGCGUAAGCUGUCGCUAAAGGAUGGACCUGCGAUGCAUUAGCUAGUUGGUAAGGUAACGGCUUACCAAGGCGAUGAUGCAUAGCCGAGUUGAGAGACUGAUCGGCCACAUUGGGACUGAGACACGGCCCAAACUCCUACGGGAGGCAGCAGUAGGGAAUCUUCCACAAUGGACGAAAGUCUGAUGGAGCAACGCCGCGUGAGUGAAGAAGGUUUUCGGAUCGUAAAGCUCUGUUGUUGGUGAAGAAGGAUAGAGGUAGUAACUGGCCUUUAUUUGACGGUAAUCAACCAGAAAGUCACGGCUAACUACGUGCCAGCAGCCGCGGUAAUACGUAGGUGGCAAGCGUUGUCCGGAUUUAUUGGGCGUAAAGCGAGCGCAGGCGGAUUGAUAAGUCUGAUGUGAAAGCCUUCGGCUCAACCGAAGAACUGCAUCAGAAACUGUCAAUCUUGAGUGCAGAAGAGGAGAGUGGAACUCCAUGUGUAGCGGUGGAAUGCGUAGAUAUAUGGAAGAACACCAGUGGCGAAGGCGGCUCUCUGGUCUGUAACUGACGCUGAGGCUCGAAAGCAUGGGUAGCGAACAGGAUUAGAUACCCUGGUAGUCCAUGCCGUAAACGAUGAGUGCUAAGUGUUGGGAGGUUUCCGCCUCUCAGUGCUGCAGCUAACGCAUUAAGCACUCCGCCUGGGGAGUACGACCGCAAGGUUGAAACUCAAAGGAAUUGACGGGGGCCCGCACAAGCGGUGGAGCAUGUGGUUUAAUUCGAAGCAACGCGAAGAACCUUACCAGGUCUUGACAUCCUUUGACCACCUAAGAGAUUAGGUUUUCCCUUCGGGGACAAAGAGACAGGUGGUGCAUGGCUGUCGUCAGCUCGUGUCGUGAGA
rnacentral:rRNA from 2 species